rnacentral:rRNA from 1 species
UACGGGGGGAGCAAGCGUUGUUCGGAUUUACUGGGCGUAAAGGGCGCGUAGGCGGCCUGUUGCGUCCGCUGUGAAAGCCCGGGGCUUAACCCCGGGUCGGCAGUGGAUACGGGCAGGCUAGAGGUAGGUAGGGGAGAAUGGAAUUCCCGGUGUAGCGGUGAAAUGCGCAGAUAUCGGGAGGAACACCGGUGGCGAAGGCGGUUCUCUGGGCCUUACCUGACGCUGAGGAGCGAAAGCGUGGGGAGCGAACAGG